rnacentral:lncRNA from 1 species
GGUAUAGAAACUCCUGAACAGAGAAAGGGUUGGCUGGACUUCGGCUAGGCGACAGACGGAAAGAAACCCUAUCAGAAAUCUAAAGGAGUUCGACGCUACAAAAACUAAAGAAAUAUUUAAAAAGCGAAAGAGAGCGAUGACAAAAGGUGGAAGUGGAAGUCGAAGUCUGACAUGGAAAGCCUCUUGUACAAAUAGAAGCAGCCAGGGGGAGGGGCACUGGCCUGACCAGUUGGUCCGGGAAGCUCCAGCUCAUACUCCGAAGGAACUCCAUACUGAAUCCUAAUCAGUGAGAGUUCCUCCAGAGUCAGAGAGCAAGAGAUAGUGUCUGGUACAA